rnacentral:rRNA from 1 species
AUUGAACGCUGGCGGCAGGCCUAACACAUGCAAGUCGAGCGGAUGAAGGGAGAUUGCUCCUGGCUUAAGCUGCGGACGGGUGGGUAAUGCCUAGGAAUCUGCCUGGUAGUGGGGGCUAACGUCCGGAAACGGGCGCUAAUACCGCAUCCGUCCUGAGGGAGAAAGUGGGGGAUCUUCGGUCCUCACGCUAUCAGCUGAGACUAGGUCGGAUUAGCUAGUUGGUGGGGUAAAGGCCUACCAAGGCGACGAUCCGUAACUGGUCUGAGAGGCUGAUCAGUCACACUGGAACUGAGACACGGUCCAGACUCCUACGGGAGGCAGCAGUGGGGAAUAUUGGACAAUGGGCGAAAGCCUGAUCCAGCCAUGCCGCGUGUGUGAAGAAGGUCUUCGGAUUGUAAAGCACUUUAAGUUGGGAGGAAGGACAGUAAGUUAAUACCUUGCUGUUUUGACGUUACCAACAGAGUAAGCACCGGCUAACUUCGUG